rnacentral:rRNA from 1 species
AACGAACGCUGGCGGCAGGCCUAACACAUGCAAGUCGAGCGCCCCGCAAGGGGAGCGGCGGACGGGUGAGUAACGCGUGGGAACGUGCCCUUUGCUUCGGAAUAGCCUCGGGAAACUGGGGGUAAUACCGAAUGUGCCCUACGGGGGAAAGAUUUAUCGGCAAAGGAUCGGCCCGCGUUGGAUUAGGUAGUUGGUGGGGUAAUGGCCUACCAAGCCGACGAUCCAUAGCUGGUUUGAGGGGAUGAUCAGCCACACUGGGACUGAGACACGGCCCAGACUCCUACGGGAGGCAGCAGUGGGGAAUCUUAGACAAUGGGCGCAAGCCUGAUCUAGCCAUGCCGCGUGAGCGAUGAAGGCCUUAGGGUUGUAAAGCUCUUUCGUGGGGGAAGAUAAUGACUGUACCCCAAGAAGUAGCCCCGGCUAACUCCGUGCCAGCAGCCGCCGUAA